AAUCAGAGCCCCCAGCAAAGCAGAGACUAGAAUGCAAGGUCUCCUGGUCACUUUUUCACAGUUUAUUUGCACCUAUGUGUUUGUAUAAAUCAGGGAAAAGACCUAUGUAAGGGAGAGAGGAGGUUGUCUUAUUCUUGAGCCUGUGUGACUUUCACAACCAGUUUGUGGCUGUGUGCAACUUUUCAGAUACUCAGACUCAGUAGGUAGGGCUUAGUUCUCCCUUUUGGUAAGCAGAAUUCAUGUCCAAGCCUGAGGAUAUCUACACUCCUAGGCAUAGCCUAAUCUGGGAGCAUUUAUUGAUACAUAAUGCUAGAUCUCACAAGCAAUCUGAAGUGACAUAGGGACCUUACUGACUGCUGAGCCUAUUUGGCAUAAUCUGUCCUCUGCAAUGGGAAGAAUAAGCAGCAGGUAACCAUAUUAUUUCUAAUGCCAGAAGAAAGUGGCCUGUAUCCCAGGUAAAUUUUUAACAGAAGGUGGAAAACUAAUCUGUCAUAAAGAAUUCAUUCUUUCCCAUUCAGGCUAUGAGGAAAGUUACACUGAUCAAGAUGCAAAGAUUGCCAGAAGAAACAAUAAAAGAUUGGAACAAUUGUGAAUUGUGCAAAGACAUAGGUUUCUCAGUCAUAGGUUUUGGGAAUGGUUUGCUGCCUAAAGUUUCAAAAGCCUACAAAGCAGAGGAAGGAGAUGCUUAUGAAAUCAGCAGGAAAUUUUAUCUGGUAAGAAAAACAAGAGUGUGCUAUGGUCACAUGCUUCUUUUCCAGCAAGAAGUGCUUAGAGGGGCACAGCAACCCAUAUUUUCUACUCACUGACUCACAGAAGUGAGUCUGUACAAGCCUUGCUGGCUGCCAAUUUUCAAAUACUGUUUCAGUGAAAAUCACUUUUGAAAUAAAAGGGAAUUAAAUUAA